UUGGUAAAAAGACACUAGACAAACUUCACACGUGUGUUGAGUUUUUAAAGAAAGUUGUGAUAAAUAUUAGGAGAUAAAUUAUGAUAAGCAACAGAGCUCUGGGAACCGUAAUCCCCCAUUUUCCAACAGAACCCAACAAAGCUGCUCCGAAAUAAAGACAUCAUGCUCUGAACUCUGGACAAUAAACAGGGCACCUAUGCAACAAGUAAGGGUUAGCAAUGACUGGGUUAGCUCAACAAUGUUCAAGUUAUGAUACAGAUUUUUAUGAUGUUCACUUUAAAAAUUUUGAAUUAUUUCAUUUUGUCAAGUAAUAAAUUUCUAUAGUUUAAAUAUUACUCAAGGAAAUUGAUAGAACUAUAUUUCUUUUUAAAAUUGAUAUGUAUUGGUCAUUGAUUGACUACCACAAUCAGUGAUUGUGAUCUCUUUAGAAUGGUAGAUCUAUGCUUGUGGAUCAUUGAUCAAUACACUUCAUGCUGUCAAUUGUUGUGAAUCUCCGAGUUACAUUAUCUUACUUGUAAAACCUUUUAUUUCAGCAAGAGGAAGCCUGGAACGCAUACCCAAUAUGCAAAACAGGUUUGGCGUGUCUUUAUCUUGUUAUUUUCUGUGUAUAUCAAUUGUUAAACAAUCUUAAAUAAUUUAUCUAACAAAGUUUUUGACUCUGGUUUCUCUGCAAUGGAUGCCCAAUCAUACAGUAAUCAAGGUUUUAGUUGAGAAAAUGGGGCUUCCUGAAGCAUCUUGAAGUGUGGGAUCAAGUAAUAUGGAUUUACUAGGGUGCAAUAGAUGUGUUGGAGAGAAGCACUCGGGUUCAGUAGCUUGAUGGAACUGUUGUACCACUAUGAUCUUCUCCAUUGGAGGAACUAUAUGGUGGAUUGUUGCAUAAAGAGUCAUUGGAAGAUCAAGCAUGGAGUACCCGGCAUUGCAGCAAGCUAUAUUUUCUUUCAUCAUGUAAAACUUAGCCAGAAAACUUAAAAGCUUCUUAGUCUAUGAGAUGUAUCAAUGUUUUAACAAUGUUCCUUAAAUUCAAUAUUUGAUGAAUUGAUGUAUCACAAUGCUUUUGGUACAAAUAUUGAUCAUUUGAUGGUUUGCAUUCAA